GCGACCACGCCGAGUCGUCCUCGUCUCUCGACUCUCGUACCCCCUCCCCCUGCCCCUCCCCCUCGGCCAGCCAGCACACGACGACGAGACGAGACGAGACCUAGGGGAGCCGCGAGCCAGGUGGUCCGAAGCGAGCGAGCUAGGGUUUGCUCGAUCCAAUCUCCACCCACCCACCACCAGGUUCUGCCUUUUGAGGCCAUCAAACCUGGCCAACUGUCAUGGACCUGGUGGGAUCACUGCUGAUAAACAUGACCCGCUGGGUUGACCCUUCUGGUGUUGAAUUCUUCGGGUGGCUCAUCACUGCCGGUUCCUUUGGCCUGGCGGCGCUCAUCUACGGUCUCCUCAGGCUGCAGAGGGAGGCGUCGCUCUACUGGCUCAAGGCGGCCGCCAGGGAGAAGAAGGCAGCGUCGAAGGUGCUACGGUGCCCCUGCUCAAGCCAUACCUGGACCGAGGACUGCUUCCGUGGUGGCCAACCUUCGACGUGCUGUGUGUGCCUGUCGUCGCUGGCCUUGCCUCAGGGUGUAGGCUCGAGGGCCCUUGACGCUGAUGUUGUUUACCGGUGCUCUGUGUGCGGAGUGGCGGCUCAUUGGUACUGCUCGCAGGGCGCUGACAAGGACUGCAAGUGUGUCACGCAGGCUGGUGCUUCCACUUUGCUGCAUCACUGGUCGGAGAGGUGGGUGGAGAUGGACGAUAACCCGGCGAUAACAACCUUCUGUUAUUACUGCGAUGAGCCCUGUGGUGUGCCAUUCCUUGGCGUCUCUCCUAUAUGGCGCUGUCUGUGGUGCCAGAGGCAGAUCCAUGUUGAUUGUCAUGCAAAGCUGUUGAAGGAGACGGGGAACACUUGUGAUCUUGGCCUGCUCAGUAGACUUAUUGUUCCACCUCUAUCGGUGAAACAAGUUGGCCAAGGUCCGGCAACCAGUGGAGCGUUCAACUCAAUCAAAGAAGGGUUUGUCACUUCUUCAGUUAGGGGUCGGAUUAGAAGGCCACGCAGCAAGAAACGCAUGAACAAUCAGUCUGGCAUUAAGACAACUGCGAUUUCCGCAGACAGUUCAAUUCUCGACUCCGUUCUUGAAGGAUUUGCUAGACUGCAGAACCUGAAUGGAAAGUAUACUCUGGCAAACCCCAAGUUCUCUGGAAACACUCUCAAGCAAACAUGUGGUUCUGACAUUACUAAUGGAGAGGAAAAGAAGUAUGAGCUUGUAGAUUUGCCACAAGAUUCGAGGCCGCUGCUUGUUUUCAUCAACGGCAAGAGUGGUGGCCGUAACGGGUCUUCUCUUAGAAGAAGAAUGAACAUGCUGCUGAAUCCCAUACAGAUAUUUGAGCUUAGCGCUUCUCAGGGUCCUGAAGUUGGAUUGCAACUAUUCCAGAAUGUAAAACACUUCAGAAUUCUUGUUUGUGGUGGGGAUGGAACUGUGGCAUGGGUUCUUGAUGCCAUAGAGAAACAGAACUAUGAAUCCCCUCCCCCGGUUGCCAUUCUUCCACUAGGAACAGGAAAUGACCUAUCGCGUGUUACCCGCUGGGGUGGAGGUUUGUCUUCUGUUGAAGGACAAGGGGGGAUAUGUGCACUUUUAAAUGACGUUGAUCACGCAGCAGUUAUGGUUCUUGAUCGCUGGAAUGUAACCAUCAAAGAGAAGAAUGGGCCACAAGGUCAAUGCAUCAAGCAAGUGAAAUUUAUGACUAAUUAUCUAGGUAUUGGAUGUGAUGCCAAGGUUGCAUAUGAUUUCCACACAACUAGGGAGGAAAGGCCAGAUAAAUUUAGCAGUCAGUUUGUGAACAAGCUGAUAUAUGCUAGAGAAGGCGCUAAGGAUAUGAUGGAUAGGUCAUGUUCUGAUUUACCAUGGCAUGUUAGCCUUGAAGUUGAUGGAAAGAACAUUGAAAUUCCAGAGGAUGCAGAAGGUGUGAUCCUUCUGAAUAUCGCUAGCUACAUGGGUGGUGUUGAUCUUUGGCAAAACGACAAUGAUUAUGAUGAUGAUUUCAGUUCACAAUCAAUGCAUGACAAAAUGCUGGAGGUGGUCUGUAUAUCUGGGACAUGGCAUCUAGGCAAACUGCAGGUAGGACUAUCGAGAGCACACCGACUAGCCCAAGGAAGAGUCAUAAGAUUUCACCUGCACAGUUCAUUCCCUGUUCAGGUUGAUGGUGAACCAUGGAUUCAGCCACCUGGGUGCCUUGAGAUAUCUCACCGUGGACAGCUUCUCAGGGCAGCUUCGAACUCCAUGCAGGGAAGGGAUUCCGUUCUCCAGCUUCGCUAGCUUCGAAUUAAUAAAGAUGGCUGCAUGCAUCGAUUAAUGCAGAGGCCAGGGGUUUAACCUCCUUUUCAAAAAAAAAAGCCUCGGUGGCUUGUCUUAGCACCAUAAUGGGCCAGCUGGAACCAGCUCGUGGAAACAGGGAGCGAAUCGCUAUGUUUGGUGGUCGGGAACGAGCGAAUCGUUAUGUUUGGUGGUCAUGAACGAAACGUUAUACUUGGCGGUGGCACUGCAGGUGUAAUUUGAGCGAACUCCAGAUUUUGGUUUUGGUGGAGCUGGGCCGACCGAGCUUCAGUUUUUUGCACUACGCUCUGGCUCAGCUCCGAGAAGUCAGCUUCUCGGAGCCCAACCGUUCGGGGCAUUUUGUACUGCAGAUUUGGUGGAGUUAGAAGCUAGAUGAGAUCAGAACAGGCCAGAAGUUUAAUCUAACUGUAGUUUGUGAAGUAAUAUGUUCAUGUUGAGGAGGCCAUCUGAAGAGCUCACUGGGCAUGCUGCGGCAGUCAUGAGUGACGUCCUCGUGAACGCUGAGUGCAAUGGUGUUAUUGACGCUGCUCAGAAGAGAUUGCUCCUCCACGAGAUAGCACUCCGUUUAUCCUCCUGACAGUCCAUACUACCCUCUCCACUCAGAAACCUAACACUGUUGAUACCAAACCCUUUUGUGUUGAGAAGUCCCUUUUGCACAGUUGAAAAGGCAUGUGGUAGAUGUUGAUGUAUACAACUAGGGAAUGGAAGGUUUCCCACGCUUAUGGUUGGCUGUACCUUUUCCGGAUUUAGAUAGGUUGGUUGCUUCUUUGCUGGCUGGGGUGCCAGUUGAAGUGGCUAUCAAGGUGAGAAAGAUCCCAAGAGAAUUUUGUAGAGACCUUAGAGCACCCUAAUUGCAUGUAGGGCUUUUGUAACUGGAGUGUGUGUUACAAUAGGCAUAGCUUUGGGGCUAGUGUCUAAAACUUUGUGUUGUUCUGUUGAAGAAACUCAUGGUGAUAAUCCUGCUGAUUCUGUUCU